rnacentral:lncRNA from 1 species
GCUGAAUCUAAGGGAGGAUUUAGAAACACCUCUGAUUGAUGAAUAUUGCAUGAGGUUUACAUAGUUUAAGAUUACAUUCCUGGGCUGCGGAUGUGGCUCAAGCGGUAGCGCGUUCGCCUGGCAUGCGUGCGGCCCGGGUUCGAUCCUCAGCACCACAUACAGACAAAGAUGUUGUGUCCGCCGAUAAUUAAAAAAAAUAAAUAAAUAUUAUUUAAAAAAAAAAAAAAAAAAGAUUACAUUCCUGUUAACCCUUUGACUCAAUGGAGAGAGACUUGUAUAAUAAAGGUUCCCUUUAGGUGUGAGUUGCUGUUUUCUCUGGGUGUAUCCUUAUUGGCUAUGUAGAGCAGAACAUGGACAUUUAGUUAUUUUCCAUUGGUGAUUGUUGUUUUCUGUAGUUUCAUAGAGAAAAGUAGUCUCUGUACCUUAUCAUAAUCACACUGAGAUAUACGGAAAUGGAAUCAGGAUCCUUUGUGCUCUGCAUAGGUGAAGAAAGCAGAUAUUCCACUUGUCACAAAUAAUAACAGGCACAGUAAUAAUGCCACCACUAAUGUUCCUUGAAUUCUUACUAAUGUAAGGUUCUAUUCUAAACACUUUUUAUCUGAUUGAAUUCUCAUAACAAACUUAUGGGGUAGAUACUAUUGUUAUUUUUGUUUUAUGGAUAACAAAACCAAGGCACAGAAAGACUCAGUAAUUUGCCCAAGUCUCAUAGCUUAUACAUAGUAUGGCCUUGAUUCAAAACUUAGCAGGCAGGGCCGAGACAAAAAUAUUCCAGUGCGAGAGGCAGUGGCCUCAAGAAUGGGCCUGAGAUUGUAACUCUGUGCUGAACCCCUGUCGGGGAGAAAGGAGGAGAGUUGACAAAUUCUUUUAGUGUGGUGAGUUCUCCAGGAGUGUGUGGCAGGGUAGGUUAACCUAGGGCAGGGGAAGGUGGGAAGGCUCUCCUGAGAAAAUGUUCUUUGAGAGGAACAUUAAGAAUGAGUAGGUGCUCUCUAGAUAAGGAGUGGUAGGUAUGAAUAUUGCAGCAUGUGUGGUAGUGCCCACAAGGCUGGAGAGAAUAGAAUGUGGUUAUUUUAAGGAACAGUCUUGUGGAGCUCAGUAGAAGGAGUAGA